AUACCAGCCGNCUAGUAUAAGCAAUUAUACAGCGAAACUGCGAAUGGCUCAUUAUAUAAGUUAUCGUUUAUUUGAUAGUACCUUACUACUUGGAUAACCGUGGUAAUUCUAGAGCUAAUACAUGCUAAAAAUCCCGACUUCGGAAGGGAUGUAUUUAUUAGAUUAAAAACCAAUGCCCUCUGGGCUCUCUGGUGAUUCAUGAUAACUUCUCGAAUCGCAUGGCCUUGCGCCGGCGAUGGUUCAUUCAAAUUUCUUCCCUAUCAACUUUCGAUGUUUGGGUAGUGGCCAAACAUGGUUGCAACGGGUAACGGAGGGUUAGGGCUCGACCCCGGAGAAGGAGCCUGAGAAACGGCUACUACAUCCAAGGAAGGCAGCAGGCGCGCAAAUUACCCAAUCCCGAUUCGGGGAGGUAGUGACAAUAAAUACUGGAUACAGGGCUCUUUUGGGUCUUGUAAUUGGAAUGAGUACAAUUUAAAUCCCUUAACGAGGAACAAUUGGAGGGCAAGUCUGGUGCCAGCAGCCGCGGUAAUUCCAGCUCCAAUAGCGUAUAUUAAAGUUGUUGUGGUUAAAAAGCUCGUAGUUGAACCUUGGGCCUGGCUGGCCGGUCCGCCUCACCGCGUGUACUGGUCCGGCCGGGUCUUUCCCUCUGUGGAACCCCAUGCCCUUCACUGGGUGUGGCGGGGAAACAGGACUUUUACUUUGAAAAAAUUAGAGUGCUCCAGGCAGGCCUAUGCUCGAAUACAUUAGCAUGGAAUAAUGAAAUAGGACGUGCGGUUCUAUUUUGUUGGUUUCUAGGACCGCCGUAAUGAUUAAUAGGGACAGUCGGGGGCAUCAGUAUUCAAUUGUCAGAGGUGAAAUUCUUGGAUUUAUUGAAGACUAACUACUGCGAAAGCAUUUGCCAAGGGAUGUUUUCAUUAAUCAGGAACGAAAGUUAGGGGAUCGAAGACGAUCAGAUACCGUCGUAGUCUUAACCAUAAACUAUGCCGACUAGGGAUCGGGACGAUGUUAUUUUUUGGACUCGUUCGGCACCUUACGAGAAAUCAAAGUGCUUGGGCUCCAGGGGGAGUAUGGUCGCAAGGCUGAAACUUAAAGAAAUUGGACGGAAGGGCACCACCAGGGGUGGAGCCUGCGGCUUAAUUUGACUCAACACGGGGAAACUCACCAGGUCCAGACACAAUGAGGAUUGACAGAUUGAGAGCUCUUUCUUGAUUUGUGGGUGGUGGUGCAUGGCCGUUCUUAGUUGGUGGAGUGAUUUGUCUGCUUAAUUGCGAUAACGAACGAGACCUUAACCUGCUAAAUAGCCAGUAUUGCUUGGCAGUACGCCGGCUUCUUAGAGGGACUAUCGGCUCAAGCCGAUGGAAGUUUGAGGCAAUAACAGGUCUGUGAUGCAA
rnacentral:rRNA from 1 species